GAUGAACGCUGGCGGCGUGCCUAAUACAUGCAAGUCGAGCGGACGGACCCGACGGUUGCUUCUCUGAUGUUAGGGGCGCGCGGGUGAGAAACACGUGGAUACCCUCCCUAUCAGUCUGGGAAAACCUCGGGACACCGGCGCUAAUACCGGAUAAGAUUUUGACCCGCAUGGGUCAAAGGUAAAAGACGGUCUUGCGGUCACUUAUAGCUGGAUCCGCGCUGCUUUAGCUGGUUGGUAGGGUCACGGCCUACCACGGCGACUAUGGAUGGCCGACCUGAGCGGGGGAUAGGCCACACGGGAGCUUGGACAGCGUCCAUGCUCCUGCGGGAGGGAGCAGACGGGUACCUGCCGCAAUGGGCGAAAGCCUGACGGAGCAACGCCGCGCGAGUUAUGAAGGUCUUCGGUGCGUAAAGCUCUGUUAGUAGUUAAGAACAUAUUUGUAAUGAACUGUGGCCAGCGUGACGGUACCUAAUCAGAAAGCCCCGGCUAACUACGUG
rnacentral:rRNA from 1 species